GGGGGGGGGGGGGGGGGGGGGGGGGGGGGGGGGGGGGGGGGGGGGGGGGGGGAGCGUGCGGCGGGGGGGGUAGCGGCGGGCGGGUGCGGGGCGCGUGGGUGGGGUGCCUGUAAGGGUGGGAUAACGGCGGGCAACCGGCGAUAGUACCGUAUAAUAUGUGGAACCGCAGGGUUGACAAGUAAACGACGGUCUUGCUGUCACUGAUCGAUGGAUCCGCGCUGCAUUAGCUAGUUGGUAAGGUAACGGCUUACCAAGGCAACGCUGCAUAGCCGACCUGAGAGGGUGAUCGGCCACACUGGAACUGAGACACGGUCCAGACUCCUACGGGAGGCAGCAGUAGGGAAUCUUCCGCAAUGGGCGAAAGCCUGACGGAGCAACGCCGCGUGAGUGAUGAAGGUCUUCGGAUCGUAAAACUCUGUUAUUAGGGAAGAACAUAUGUGUAAGUAACUGUGCACAUCUUGACGGUACCUAAUCAGAAAGCCACGGCUAACUACGUG
rnacentral:rRNA from 1 species